rnacentral:rRNA from 1 species
UGUGCCAGCAGCCGCGGUAAUACGUAGGGUGCGAGCGUUGUCCGGAAUUAUUGGGCGUAAAGGGCUCGUAGGCGGUUUGUCGCGUCGGGAGUGAAAACUCAGGGCUUAACUCUGAGCUUGCUUCCGAUACGGGCAGACUAGAGGUAUGCAGGGGAGAACGGAAUUCCUGGUGUAGCGGUGAAAUGCGCAGAUAUCAGGAGGAACACCGGUGGCGAAGGCGGUUCUCUGAGCAUUACCUGACGCUGAGGAGCGAAAGUGUGGGGAGCGAA